UUUGUUUUAAGUAAAUCUUAAAUAAAGCACCUUUCCCCCCCCUCCCCCUUUUCUUUAACCAUGUUUUUUCUUGUGCUUUACAGGUACAAUGAUGACUUUGAUUGGGUGGAAGGGAAGUGCAGCUGCUGUCAGCCAGUACAAUCCUCUGUGCACGAGAAAAAAAUAGAAUUAAAAUGUUCUGAUUCUACAUCUAAAACAAUAAGCAUAAAGUUCUUCACAGCAUGUAUCUGCAACUACCAACCCUGUGUAAAUCCCAGCGCAGCACCCAGCAGCAAAUGAGACGUUCAUCCUUCCUUAACAUGACAAAAUAGAAUGGCUGGGGUCUUUCUUACCAAAAAAAAUAAAAAAAAUAAAAACAACAACAAAAAAGGUGUUAAGCAUUUAUGG